UACAGAGGGGGCAAGCGUUAUUCGGAAUUAUUGGGCGUAAAGGGCGCGUAGGCGGCUUGGCAAGUGGAUGGUGAAAUCCCUCGGCUUAACCGGGGAACUGCCGUCCAAACUGCUUCGCUUGAGACCGGGAGAGGUGAGUGGAAUUCCCAGUGUAGCGGUGAAAUGCGUAGAUAUUGGGAGGAACACCAGUGGCGAAGGCGGCUCACUGGACCGGUACUGACGCUGAUGCGCGAAAGCGUGGGGAGCAAACGGG
rnacentral:rRNA from 1 species